UACGAAGGGGACUAGCGUUGUUCGGAAUUACUGGGCGUAAAGCGCACGUAGGCGGAUUUGUUAGUCAGGGGUGAAAUCCCGGGGCUCAACCUCGGAACUGCCUUCGAUACUGCGGGUCUCGAGUCCGGGAGAGGUGAGUGGAAUUCCUAGUGUAGAGGUGAAAUUCGUAGAUAUUAGGAAGAACACCAGUGGCGAAGGCGGCUCACUGGCCCGGUACUGACGCUGAGGCGCGAAAGCGUGGGGAGCAAACAGG
rnacentral:rRNA from 1 species